GUAGGGAAUCUUCGGCAAUGGACGAAAGUCUGACCGAGCAACGCCGCGUGAGUGAAGAAGGUUUUCGGAUCGUAAAACUCUGUUGGUAGAGAAGAACGUUGGUGAGAGUGGAAAGCUCAUCAAGUGACGGUAACUACCCAGAAAGGGACGGCUAACUACGUGCCAGUAGCCGCGGUAAUACGUAGGUCCCGAGCGUUGUCCGGAUUUAUUGGGCGUAAAGCGAGCGCAGGUGGUUUAUUAAGUCUGGUGUAAAAGGCAGUGGCUCAACCAUUGUAUGCAUUGGAAACUGGUAGACUUGAGUGCAGGAGAGGAGAGUGGAAUUCCAUGUGUAGCGGUGAAAUGCGUAGAUAUAUGGAGGAACACCGGUGGCGAAAGCGGCUCUCUGGCCUGUAACUGACACUGAGGCUCGAAAGCGUGGGGAGCAAACAGGAUUAGAUACCCUGGUAGUCC
rnacentral:rRNA from 1 species